GAGAGCAAAACAGCAUUCCUCUGGUAAGGGUGCUGUCAGCAUAACACAGUGGUUGAGAUCCUUCAGACCUUUCACACUGUGGCACAGAAGAGACCAGAGUUAACCCAGAGAAAAGGAUGUACCAGCACAGUUUUAUACUGCUGAUAGCCCCCCAGAAAGUACUUCCUUCAUGUAGCACUUCAGUGUCACUUAGUUGGGGAACACUGACUCUUACUAUCUUCUCUAUCCAACUCUACCUAGACUAGCCUGGCCCAUCUCCUGCCUCUUCUCUGAAUGGACAGCAGACUUGGUGUGAAAGUCAAUAUAGCCUUAGGCCAUAAUCAAGCUUCUUAUGAGUGCUGUUCAAAAAAAGAUGUUAAAGGAAAAAAUUAAAGAUUAUGUAUAAUUAGCUUAAUUUCAGACAAGUAAAACUGAAAUACAGGGAAAACACGGUGAACGCAAAUGCACCUUACGGGUUGGAGUGCAAUUCCUGCUCUCCCUUUGAUGCUGUGGGAAGGUCUGGUGUGGGUGAUGCAGGAUGUAGGCAAUGCACUUCUUGCUCUCCAGCUUUGGAAAUUGGAGAAAAAUAUGGAACUACUAUGGACAAUAUGUCUGGGGUAGAUUUCUCCGCACUGAUUGUGGAAUUUAGUCACAAGCCAACGAGGAGCUGAUAAACCUAAACCUCAUAUUUCUGAUUGAUUCUGAAGAGUUUUUCAUUCAAAACUCCAGGAGUUCACAGUAGGCUAUUUUGCAUUCAGGGCCAAAGCAACGGUGUGGAAGAGAUGGACUGCAACUUCAUACCUCUAAAAACAAAGAAUGCUGGAUAGCUCGAUUUGUCUUACUGAUGGAGGGCAGCAAAGAGAUGGGUCAUUAGUGCCAAAUCAGCACAAAUAUUUGAACAGGAGAAAUAAAUAGCUCGUGACCUCACCUGCACAUUUGUUACAAUGCAGUCAUCAGGAAGCAUUCCUGAUACAUCUACGGAGCUAACUGGUGGGAGAUGUAGAGCACGAAGAAAUGGUGAGGAGUCAUUUGAGUCAACUGGCAGGUGUCAUACACUGGAAAGAACGAUGCUGAAAACACUGGAAGAGCUGGUGAGGAUGGAGAGAGGAAGAAAUUGGAGAAACAAUCAUGCUUGCUUGGAUCAGAGACCACUUGCUUGUCUGCAGCAGGAAGAAAGUAGCACACUGUCCAGCAGCCUUCCCUGCCUCUGCUCUGCCCCUGGGAUGCCGACAGCUCAUGGAGCUCUACUUUCUGUAAGCAGAACAAUCAGACAACAGCUUCUGACCUUUUUGCCCCUCUGGAGAGCAGCACAGUGUGCUCAGUUUAGAGUCCUCUGCUCAGGUAACAUGCCAGCCCACGUCACUGUCACAGAAAUAAGAGACAACAGGGCUGGAGAGAAUGUCAAGACAAGACUCACCUCUGCCUGAAGCAUUUCCAACAG
rnacentral:lncRNA from 1 species